GCACUGCUGAGGAGCCCCACAGUAGGGCGAAACGACCGUCCAGUGC
rfam:Schistosoma haematobium scaffold430_26, whole genome shotgun sequence.